UAGAAAGAUCUAGCACGAAGAUUUCACGAAGAUCCGAGAAGAACAGAGAUGACACCGCCAACGAAUCUCUUUAUUGCAACGGUGUCGAUCGAUUACAAAAGAUGCAACCAUGCAUCCAAGAACUCUCCAAGAAUUGAUCUAGAUCCAAAGCUCUGAGUUUCCUCACGUCCUUGCUAAAACCCUAGCUAGGAUGCCCUCUAUUUAUAAGAGAAAAUUCGCGACCCUAAACCGAGUCCGAAUCCAACACGAACUCCUCUGUCCCGGUCGGUAUUUUGC
rnacentral:lncRNA from 1 species